rnacentral:rRNA from 1 species
UACGAAGGGGGCUAGCGUUGCUCGGAAUCACUGGGCGUAAAGCGCACGUAGGUGGGUCGUUAAGUCAGGGGUGAAAUCCUGGAGCUCAACUCCAGAACUGCCUUUGAUACUGGCGAUCUUCGAGUUCGGGAGAGGUGAGUGGAACUGCGAGUGUAGAGGUGAAAUUCGUAGAUAUUCGCAAGAACACCAGUGGCGAAGGCGGCUCACUGGCCCGAUACUGACACUGAGGUGCGAAAGCGUGGGGAGCAAACAGG